rnacentral:rRNA from 1 species
GACGAACGCUGGCGGCGUGCUUAACACAUGCAAGUCGAACGGAAAGGCCCUGCUUCUGUGGGGUGCUCGAGUGGCGAACGGGUGAGUAACACGUGAGUAACCUGCCCUUGACUUUGGGAUAACUUCAGGAAACUGGGGCUAAUACCGGAUAGGAGCUCCUGCUGCAUGGUGGGGGUUGGAAAGUUUCGGCGGUUGGGGAUGGACUCGCGGCUUAUCAGCUUGUUGGUGGGGUAGUGGCUUACCAAGGCUUUGACGGGUAGCCGGCCUGAGAGGGUGACCGGCCACAUUGGGACUGAGAUACGGCCCAGACUCCUACGGGAGGCAGCAGUGGGGAAUAUUGCACAAUGGGCGGAAGCCUGAUGCAGCAACGCCGCGUGCGGGAUGACGGCCUUCGGGUUGUAAACCGCUUUCGCCUGUGACGAAGCGCGAGUGACGGUAAUGGGUAAAGAAGCACCGGCUAACUACGUG